rnacentral:tRNA from 1 species
AAGGAUUUAAGUUAAUUAAACUGUUAACCUUCAAAGUUAAAAAUAGAAAAAGAUUUCUAAGCCUUA